AUCGCUUCUCGGCCUUUUGGCUAAGAUCAAGUGUAGUAUCUGUUCUUAUCAGUUUAAAAAGGACAGGAUGACAGCCUGCAAUUCCAAAAUAACUUCUGAGUAAAAUGUGGGCGAGCACCCUCU
rnacentral:snRNA from 1 species